AGUAAAAUAAAUUUAUUAUUUGCAGAAAGAAAAAUGGAAAAAAUUUAUCCAGCAGUGAGAAAGAAUUCAAGAAAGAAAGAGCGGUAGUAGAUAAAGUAUUCUUUGCAAGAAUUUGUCAAAUUCUGAAAGUUAUGGUCCCCAGGACAUUUUGUAAAGAGACAGGUUAUUUGGUACUUAUUGCCAUUAUGUUGGUACUUCGCACAUAUUGUGACAUCUGGAUGAUUCAUAAUGGAACAGUUAUUGAGAGGUAAGCGUUAUUUAUAUAUGCCAUUAUUCUUUUAUGUUACUGUAUAUCAGAGACUAAUACUGCUAUUUUUAGAAACACAGGGCAUAAAAUUAAACAGUGUUUAACUUAAAUUAGUAAAUAUAGGCUUUAUCCAAGUACAAUACAAAAUCAAAAUUUCUUUCUAAGUGAACAUGCCAUGUUAAACCACAGACUCUCCCCUUUGCUAUUAUUCUUUCUUGGAGCUUCCUGGAGAACAAACUUCCACUUUUAAACUAACCAGUGUGGCUAAUAGAAAAGCAAAAAU